rnacentral:rRNA from 1 species
CACGUAGGGGGCAAGCGUUGUCCGGAUUUAUUGGGCGUAAAGAGCUCGUAGGCGGCUCAGUAAGUCAGGUGUGAAACCUCCAGGCUCAACCUCGAGACGCCGAUGGAAACCCUCAGACUAGAGUCCGGAAGAGGAGAGUGGAAUUCCUGGCGUAGCGGUGAAAUGCGCAGAUAUCAGGAAGAACACCCGUGGCUAAGGCGGCUCUCUAGUACGGUACUGACGCUGAGACGCGAAAGCGUGGGGAGCGAACAGG